UGAGAAUCUUUCUCGGAUCUCUUUCCCAACUGAGGUUCUCUCUGGCCUUUCUGCAGAUGGUCCUGGAGUAGCUGCGACCUUCCCACUUGAGUGUCGUCCCCUUGAACUGCCUCCAAUUUGAGGGUACUUCAGUAUAGUCCAAUCAAAGACAUAAUCAAAUUGAUAGCCUUCCCGUAUGAAUAAGUCGCGAAAAAGUCGCUUUAAAUAUGAAUAAUCUGGUUUGUCUUCAAAUCUCAGUGAUCGACAGUAA
rnacentral:misc_RNA from 1 species